rnacentral:misc_RNA from 1 species
GAUGAAGGACGUAGCGAAAUGCGAUAACUAAUGUGAAUUGCAGAAUUCCGUGAAUCAUCGAGUCUUUGAACGCACAUUGCGCCCCCUGGUAUUCCGGGGGGCAUGCCUGUCCGAGCGUCAUUGCUGCCCAUCAAGCGCGGCUUGUGUGUUGGGUCCUCGUCCCCCCCGGGGGACGUGCCCGAAAGGCAGCGGCGGCACCGCGUCCGGUCCUCGAGCGUAUGGGGCUUUGUCACCCGCUCUGCAGGCCCGGCCGGCGCUGGCCGACGCGAAAGCAACCAUUUUUUCUCCAGGUUGACCUCGGAUCAGGUAGGGAUACCCGCUGAACUUAAGCAUAUCAAUAAGCGGAGGA